rnacentral:tRNA from 1 species
AGUUAAUUAGUUUAGGAAAACAUUUGUUUUGAAAACAAAAAUUAGAAGUUUAACUCUUUUAUUAACUU